AACAAAGAUAUGGUGUUUCAGAAAAGUUUGAAAUAUUAACAUUACCACAUGCCAUACAAGCUGAAGUUUGCUGAAAGUUAUACAAAUGGAGAUGUAUUGGUGCGUGUCUUUCCAAAUGUAGAAGUUAAUGCAUACAGAAAGAGAGAUAAAGGAGGUCAGAAAAGUUGGCAGAAAAGUUUGUGUCGCAUUUGUGGAAGUGAAAUUGG
rnacentral:lncRNA from 1 species